rnacentral:rRNA from 1 species
UGGGGAAUUUUGGACAAUGGGCGCAAGCCUGAUCCAGCAAUGCCGCGUGCAGGAUGAAGGCCUUCGGGUUGUAAACUGCUUUUGUACGGAACGAAAAGGCUCUGGCUAAUACCUGGGGCACAUGACGGUACCGUAAGAAUAAGCACCGGCUAACUACGUGCCAGCAGCCGCGGUAAUACGUAGGGUGCGAGCGUUAAUCGGAAUUACUGGGCGUAAAGCGUGCGCAGGCGGUUUUGUAAGACAGAGGUGAAAUCCCCGGGCUCAACCUGGGAACUGCCUUUGUGACUGCAAGGCUGGAGUGCGGCAGAGGGGGAUGGAAUUCCGCGUGUAGCAGUGAAAUGCGUAGAUAUGCGGAGGAACACCGAUGGCGAAGGCAAUCCCCUGGGCCUGCACUGACGCUCACGCACGAAAGCGUGGGGAGCAAACAGGAUUAGAUACCCUGGUAGUCCACGCCCUAAACGAUGUCAACUGGUUGUUGGGUCUUAAUUGACCUCAGUAACGAAGCUAACGCGUGAAGUUGACCCGCCUGGGGAGUACGGCCGCAAGGUUGAAACUCAAAUGAA